CAACGGGCAGCCACCUUGCCAGACACUGAGGGGGCUGAGAGCGCGAGGGCAGCAGCUCGGAGGUCCAGCCUUCAGAUGUCAUUCAACAGGGAGCAGCCCGGGCCAUGACACUGGGCAAACAGCAAGAGAUGAACACCUCCUCCAAGGAAUGUGGAUGUCGGAGACAGCCCAGGAGCCCUCCAGGGGGAAUCGAUGUUCCCAAGGCCCAUGCAUCUGAGGCUCGAUCUUGGCCAGAAUCCAGAACAAGGAAGGGGAAACCGCAUCUGUGCCCAGAAAGAAAAUGAUCUCAAAGAAGUGGAUUUGGUGGAAUUCAACAAUGGGUUCGCUGCCAGGGCAAUGCUCAUGAGUCACCAGGAGGCGGCAGAAGCCUUCCACUCUCGAUGCUUCCAUCCUUGAAAACCCAGGUUGGCCCCAGGAGUAAGUAGAGUAAGACCCUUUCACAGAGAACCCAGAGAAAAACGCAGGAACGCCCGUGUGGACCGCUAGAAAAGCCGGUUUCAGGCAGUAUGCAUCAGAGCCAGAGCAUGGAAGGAAAAACUCUCCCCUCUGUGGCUGCCCCCAGAAAGUAGGAGGAUGUCCCCAGAAGGCCUUUAGUGGCACAGGAUUUGAAUACAAACGAUCUAGAACUUGGGCCAUCUGUCUGCCUUGUCAUCUUUCCGGUGUCAUCUCUCCUGUCUGCCUGCUCCCACGGCGAGGAAACGAAGAUCGUAACAACUCCGUCAUAGGACUGUCGGAACGAUCGGGUCAUCGUUCUCAACCUAUGACGCAUCACCGUUAUCAAGCUGUGCGAAGACCUUCCCUGGCCGGUUCGAUUUUUUCCAU